rnacentral:tRNA from 1 species
GGGGAUUUAGCUCAGUGGUAGAGCACUUGCCUAGCAAGCGAAAGGCCCUGGGUUCGUCCCCAGCUCCG